UACAGAGGGGGCAAGCGUUGUUCGGAAUUACUGGGCGUAAAGGGCGCGUAGGCGGCCUGUUAAGUCGAACGUGAAAUCCCCGGGCUCAACCCGGGAACUGCGUCCGAUACUGGCAGGCUUGAAUUCGGGAGAGGGAUGCGGAAUUCCAGGUGUAGCGGUGAAAUGCGUAGAUAUCUGGAGGAACACCGGUGGCGAAGGCGGCAUCCUGGACCAAUACUGACGCUCAUGUGCGAAAGCGUGGGGAGCAAACAGG
rnacentral:rRNA from 1 species